GGCAUGACGGAACGUUACAGUCGAGCGGAUGACGGGAGCUUGCUCCUUGAUUAGCGGCGGACGGGUGAGUAAUGCCUAGGAAUCUGCCUGGUAGUGGGGGACAACGUUCCGAAAGGAGCGCUAAUACCGCAUACGUCCUACGGGAGAAAGUGGGGGAUCUUCGGACCUCACGCUAUCAGAUGAGCCUAGGUCGGAUUAGCUAGUUGGUGAGGUAAAGGCUCACCAAGGCGACGAUCCGUAACUGGUCUGAGAGGAUGAUCAGUCACACUGGAACUGAGACACGGUCCAGACUCCUACGGGAGGCAGCAGUGGGGAAUAUUGGACAAUGGGCGAAAGCCUGAUCCAGCCAUGCCGCGUGUGUGAAGAAGGUCUUCGGAUUGUAAAGCACUUUAAGUUGGGAGGAAGGGCAGUAAGUUAAUACCUUGCUGUUUUGACGUUACCGACAGAAUAAGCACCGGCUAACUCUGUGCCAGCAGCCGCGGUAAUACAGAGGGUGCAAGCGUUAAUCGGAAUUACUGGGCGUAAAGCGCGCGUAGGUGGUUCGUUAAGUUGGAUGUGAAAGCCCCGGGCUCAACCUGGGAACUGCAUCCAAAACUGGCGAGCUAGAGUAUGGUAGAGGGUGGUGGAAUUUCCUGUGUAGCGGUGAAAUGCGUAGAUAUAGGAAGGAACACCAGUGGCGAAAGCGACCACCUGGACUGAUACUGACACUGAGGUGCGAAAGCGUGGGGAGCCAACAGGAUUAGAUACC
rnacentral:rRNA from 1 species